rnacentral:rRNA from 1 species
GACAACGCUGGCGGCGUGCUUAACACAUGCAAGUCGAGCGAUGAAGCUUUCUUCGGAAAGUGGAUUAGCGGCGGACGGGUGAGUAACACGUGGGUAACCUGCCUCAUAGAGGGGAAUAGCCUUUCGAAAGGAAGAUUAAUACCGCAUAAGAUUGUAAUACCGCAUGGUAUAGCAAUUAAAGGAGCAAUCCGGUAUGGGGUGAGCUCGCGUCCGAUUAGCUAGUUGGUGAGGUAACGGCCCACCAAGGCGACGAUCGGUAGCCGACCUGAGAGGGUGAUCGGCCACAUUGGAACUGAGAGACGGUCCAAACUCCUACGGGAGGCAGCAGUGGGGAAUAUUGGGCAAUGGGCGAAAGCCUGACCCAGCAACGCCGCGUGAGGGAAGAAGGUUUUCGGAUUGUAAACCUCUGUCCUUGGGGACGAAGGAAGUGACGGUACCCAAGGAGGAAGCCCCGGCUAACUACGUG